UUUUCCCAGCAAAACCAAUAAAAAUACAAUCUUUUCCCUAGAUUCUUUGUAGGAAAUCAAAACCAUCAAAAGCUUAAUCAUUCUCCUAGCAAUUCCCAUAAAAAUACAAUCUUUUCCCUAGAUUCUUUAUAGGAAAAUCAAAACCAUCAAAAGUUUAAUCAAAACCAAUAAAAAAACAAUCCUUUUCCAAGAUUCUUUCUGAAAUAAAAACCCCAUUACCUAAAA